CCUUAUCAGAAACGUAAAGUCACUGCAGUUUCUUUGGGACGAAACUGCAUCUGAAUUUGUAAAUCACGAUUUGGUUUUGCAAAAAAAAAAAAAUAUAUAUAUAUAUUAGAAAAUCCCAUUUGGGGAAUCAAACCUUUGUUCCUGGCGUUGCCCACAGGUUAAUGUCCACUGUUUACAUUCUGUCAGCGUUUUCAGUCAGGAAGUUGUCUUUAUAUAUCCUUAAAAUAUGACGUUCUCAUCAAUUUGAUGUUCAAGUAAAAAAAAAAAUGAAGCUCUUUCAGACAAUUUUUAUUCAGAUUUUCCCUUUAAGGUCAUAUGUUUGCUCGUUUAUUCUUCCCCAUGGGUGGGGUUUGGUGUUCCCAGUCAGACGUUGUACAGAACAAACAGCCAAUCUCACCUAUAUGUGUAUAAAUAUACAGAAAUACAUGUAUAAUGUACAAAUACAGUAUACACACAUGCAUGCAGAUAAAUGCUAUCUAUAUAUAAAGUAUAUAGUAGAAAGCCAUGUGCUCAUUGAAAAAAAAAUUGUUGUUAGAAUCGAAUCUGUUAGAUUAAUUUUUUUUAUUAUUGAAAAAAGACAAACUCAAAAGCAUGAAUUUAGUUGAUAAAAUAGACAGUCGAACUAAACAAAAAAAAACUUAAUUUAUUUAAGUGAAUACUUAAUAUUGACUGGUGAGAGUUUUAUGCAGAUAAUUCUAAUAACAAUAAUCACAUGAUAAACCGAUGUAUAUUUUUGUGUAUGUCCUAUAACCUGAACUCUUGACAUCCUGUGUUCAAAAACAACAAACAAACACAAGAUUAACAAUAAUUAAUGCUACAAAUAUCUAAUGGUUUUCCAUGACAUUUCCUGCAGCCGUGACUGUGGCUCCGUGACGUAGUUGUAAAUAUUCUUAGUCUGAUAUUUUAACACAGUAUUUACACAUUGAUGUGUUUUUACAUAGGCAUGAAUCAAAUGCAAGGACGUUUCGUCAGCUCCGAGGUUCUAUGUUUGCGUGCGUGUGCAGAUGUUUUAGACAUUUUAUCGUCUUUUGUUUGAAUUUAUUAUUGUGAUGAAUGCUUUAAAACAGUCCUACCGUGUGUGAGAGACCAAAAAAAACUAGUUGAUCACUAAUUAAUAACUGUGGAUCAACCAUUGGAUCGAACAUCGAAUCAAGAGUUUUUUUACAUCUGCAGCUUUAGUUUCAAAUCUCAUUGAAGUUCAUAAAAAAACGUCCGUUUUCAUUCAAUAGGAAAAGAACUGAAAUUAUAAAUCAGUGACAUUUCCCUGCUGUGGCUCCAAAAGAAAUCAAAUCUGAAAUUGCGUCGCUGUGGCUCCCCCUCGCUAUAGCUUUAGGCCUCCCAACGGGGCUCGCCCCCCACACUGGGAACCGCUGCUCUACUGUAGGCCAGGAGUGAUUUACUGUGAAACUUCAGGUGUAGAGUUUUUGGAUUCUGUUUUUUUUUUUUUUCCAGAAGCCGUUAAGCAUGAGUAAUAUGAGUUUGCAGCCCGAGAACCGCUGGUUCCAUCAGCACUGCCGUGGUCACAGGUCCUGGUGUGGAGAGGCUUCUGCACCAGGACGUCGCGUCGUCUGUGUUUUGGUUUUUCAAACAGUAAUCUCAGCAUCACAGAGAGAGAGCGAUGCGUUCAGGGUCAACCUCAGAGGUUACCGCUGCGUUAACACAACUUUUAACUCACGUACACAGACGGUCUUUUCUUGGUUCAUGAUGUCGUCUGGUGUGAAAGAACGGCUGUAAACGACGUCAGAAAACCCAACUCUUUAAGACCAUUUUCAUUUAUUUAUUCAUAAAGUUUUAUAUUCCAGGUCUCGUCCCGCAGCCUUCAGUGACGUUCUACCAAAAUGUAUUCAGUGCAUAACAAUUGCUUUUGCUCAAAUGAUGGCGUAAUUUAAUUUGAGCCCCUCGCCCUGAAUAUUUCAUGCCUUUUAAGUCAGAUAAAACAAGGUUAAAUGGAUAAUAUGGCCGCCGCGUUCCUCAGUAGUGGAAUUCAAACUUGGGCUUCUUUGAUUGAUUAGUUCCGUGUGAUCGUGCUGGUGGACUGGAACUGAUGCUCUCAUCAGGGCUCACAUCAAACCCAUGUCCUGGGCACGAUCACCAUGAGCUGUGGAUGGGAUUAUACUGGACUGUAUGUACAUAUAUCAAUAUAUAUUAGGGCUGGCUGUCAACCUGAACACAGGGUGUGGAUGAAUUACUGUGAAUUAAGACGUCCAGUUGACUGGUUUAUUUGAUUAAUUUUCAGUUAAGGUUUCAGUUUGGUGUCUUUGUUUUUACAUUUUGACCUUCUGUGUCUGGAUCUGCUGCUGUGCUGCUGGAAUUUUGAUUUCCAUGAGGGAAUUUCCAUAAGGAAUUUAUAAUCUAAUCCGAUUAAUCGUGAUUGAUCAGGAUAUAUUCACAUUCCUUAACGUUGAAAAUUCUCACCUGAAGUUUACAAGUGCAUGCUGCGUUUAGAGACUUAGGUAUUUGAAGCUCGAGACUCUUUGGUGAAAUUGAAAUCUCUUUCCUGCAAAUGUGUGUCGACUGUGGAAACUAAACACUUUAAUUUUGACAGCCCUAAUAUAAAUAUGUGUUAUCUCCGUCGCCAGGUGUAAAGUGUUAGCUUACUGAGAAGACGAGCUCUCGCUUCUGAACACGUCCACACGUGGAAAUAGGGUUAGUACUGUUAGUACUUCUUAGUACUGUUAGUACUGUUAGUACUGUUAGUACUGUUAGUACUUCUUAGUACUGUUAGUACUGUUAGUACUGUUAGUACCGUUAGUACUGUUAGUACCGUUAGUACUGUUAGUACUGUUAGUACUGUUAGUACCGUUAGUACUUCUUAGUGUUUUCACGUUUUAGUCACAGUUUCAAGUAUUGGAGCCUGUUGUUUUUGUCGGAGCUCAAAAACCGCUGCGUGUUUGAUGUCCCCCCCCCAACCCCCCCACCUCUCCAACAUUUAUUAUAACAUGACACAAAUAUAUGAUGAUUAACAUAUAAGCUACGUGCUAUUAUUAGCGUUAUAUAAAACACCGUCAGUCCGUGUGUGUUCGUCGUCACUCCUGCUUAAACAUGUGCAUGGGAACUGUGUGUUUGUUUCUUAUUGAGGAUUUAUAUACAUUUAACAUAUUACGGCGCUGAUGCUCUAACAGUGUGAUCGAUGCAACCGCAUUAUGUGUUGGAAUAUAUUUAAAAGAGAGAGAGAGAAAAAAAAGCUUUUGUUCUCGAAAUUGAUUUUAAAAAAAGACGGACGUAGCUGAAAUAAAAAAAAUUUGGAAAUAUA